rnacentral:rRNA from 1 species
GGUGAGCGCUGGCGGCGGGCCUAACACAUGCAAGUCGAGCGGAAGCACAGUAAGCGCUUGCCCUUACGGGUGGCGGGGGGCGGACGGGUGAGGAAUAGAUCGGAUUCCACUAUUUCGUGGGGGACAUCGGAGGGCCACUGACACUAACACCGCAUAUGUCCUACGGGUGAGAUCAGGGGUUAAUGGCGGUUUGCGCGUUUGUAUUAGACGAUGCCGGAUUAGCUAGUUGGCGGGGUAAGGGCCCACCAAGGCAACGAUCCGUAGCGGGUCUGAGAGGAUGAUCGGCCACACUGGAACUGAGACACGGUCCAGACUCCUACGGGAGGCAGCAGUGGGGAAUCUUGGGCAAUGGGCGCAAGCCUGAUCCAGCCAUACCGCGUGGGUGAAGAAGGCCUUCGGGUCGUAAAGCCCUUUUGUUGGGAAAGAACAGCAGUAGAUUUAUACCCCGACGUUCUGACGGUACCCAAAGAGAAAGCCCCGGCUAACUACGUG